rnacentral:snRNA from 1 species
AUACUUACCUGGCAGGGGAGAUACUAUGAUCACGAAGGUGGUUUUCCCAGGGUGAGGCUUAUCCAUUGCACUCCGGAUGUGCUGACCCCUGCGAUUUCCCCAAAUGUGGGAAACUUGACUGCAUAAUUUGUGGUAGUGGGGGACUGCGUUCAUACUUUCCCCUG